UACGUAGGUGGCGAGCGUUGUCCGGAUUUAUUGGGUUUAAAGGGUGCGUAGGCGGCCCUAUAAGUCAGUGCUGAAAUAUCCCGGCUUAACCGGGAGGGUGGCAUUGAUACUGUAGGGCUUGAGUAAAGUUGAGGUUGGCGGAAUUGACGGUGUAGCGGUGAAAUGCUUAGAUAUCGUCAAGAACACCUAUUGCGAAGGCAGCUAACUAAGCUUUAACUGACGCUGAGGCACGAAAGCGUGGGUAGCAAACAGG
rnacentral:rRNA from 1 species